rnacentral:sRNA from 1 species
UUUUUGGGUGUUCUCGUGCAAUAUUCUUUUGUGGUGGGAUUGUCAAUUUCUAAGACCAUUCUUAUUGCAAGUCUCUUACUAUAAAUCUUAGAUUCUUAGGCCUAAUAUAAUCAGGAGAAUAUGUGAAUAGUUAAGAAGAGUUCCUUAGCUAAGAGAUAAAAGAAGGUUUAAGAGCUUCAAACCAUUACAAAAGUUCUUAGUUACAAUUUUUUCAAU